rnacentral:rRNA from 1 species
UGGGGAAUUUUGGACAAUGGGCGCAAGCCUGAUCCAGCCAUGCCGCGUGCGGGAAGAAGGCCUUCGGGUUGUAAACCGCUUUUGUCAGGGAAGAAAUCUUCUGAGUUAAUACCUCGGGAGGAUGACGGUACCUGAAGAAUAAGCACCGGCUAACUACGUGCCAGCAGCCGCGGUAAUACGUAGGGUGCAAGCGUUAAUCGGAAUUACUGGGCGUAAAGCGUGCGCAGGCGGUUUUGUAAGACAGAGGUGAAAUCCCCGGGCUCAACCUGGGGACUGCCUUUGUGACUGCAAGGCUUGAGUGCGGCAGAGGGGGAUGGAAUUCCGCGUGUAGCAGUGAAAUGCGUAGAUAUGCGGAGGAACACCGAUGGCGAAGGCAAUCCCCUGGGCCUGCACUGACGCUCAUGCACGAAAGCGUGGGGAGCAAACAGGAUUAGAUACCCUGGUAGUCCACGCCCUAAACGAUGUCAACUGGUUGUUGGGAAGGUUCCUUCUCAGUAACGUAGCUAACGCGUGAAGUUGACCGCCUGGGGAGUACGGCCGCAAGGUUGAAACUCAAAUGAAUU